rnacentral:rRNA from 1 species
GGAGGAUGCGAGCGUUAUCCGGAUUUAUUAGGUUUAAAGGGUGUGUAGGCGGGCGAUUAAGUCAGUGGUGAAAUCUCACAGCUCAACUGUGAAACUGCCAUUGAUACUGGUUGCCUUGAGUACAGUUGAAGUAGGCGGAAUGUGUAAUGUAGCGGUGAAAUGCUUAGAUAUUACACAGAACACCGAUUGCGAAGGCAGCUUACUAAGCUGUUACUGACGCUGAUGCACGAAAGCGUGGGGAGCGAACAGGAUUAGAUACCCUGGUAGUCCACGCCGUAAACGAUGAUUACUCGUUGUUGGCGAUAUACUGUCAGCGACUGAGCGAAAGCAAUAAGUAAUCCACCUGGGGAGUACGUCGGCAACGAUG